GCCCUCAUAACUCAACUGGAAGAGUAGCGGACUCUUAAUCCGUAAAUCUCGGUUCGAUUCCGAGUGGGGGCA
rnacentral:tRNA from 1 species